rnacentral:rRNA from 1 species
GACGAACGCUGGCGGCGUGCCUAACACAUGCAAGUCGAACGGAAAGGUCCUGCUUUUGUGGGGUGCUCGAGUGGAGAACGGGUGAGCAACACGUGAGUUACCAGCCACUGACCUUGGGAUAACCUCAUGCAACUGGGGCUAAUACCGGCUAGGAGCUCCUGCUGCUUGGUGGGGGUUGGAAAGUUUCGGCGGUUGGGGAUGGACUCGCGGCUCAUCAGCUUGUUGGUGGGGUAGUGGCUUACCAAGGCAUUGACGGGUAGCCGGCCUGGGAGGGUGACAUGCCACAUUAGGACUGAGAUACGGCCCAGACUCCUACGGGAGGCAGCGGUGGAGAGUGUUACACAAUGGGCGGGGGCCUGAUGCGGCAACGCAGCGUGCGGGAUGACGGCCAUGGGGUUGUAUUCCGCUUUCGCCUGUGACGGGACGUGAGUGACGGUAACGGGUAAAGAAGCACCGGCUAACUACGUG